rnacentral:piRNA from 1 species
UCAAAGGACCUUCACUCUCACAGGACCGGC